GAUGAACGCUGGCGGCGUGCCUAAUACAUGCAAGUCGAGCGAACGGACGAGAAGCUUGCUUUUCUGAUGUUAGCGGCGGACGGGUGAGUAACACGUGGAUAACCUACCUAUAAGACUGGGAUAACUUCGGGAAACCGGAGCUAAUACCGGAUAAUAUUUUGAACCGCAUGGUUCGAAAGUGAAAGACGGUCUUGCUGUCACUUAUAGAUGGAUCCGCGCUGCAUUAGCUAGUUGGUAAGGUAACGGCUUACCAAGGCAACGAUGCAUAGCCGACCUGAGAGGGUGAUCGGCCACACUGGAACUGAGACACGGUCCAGACUCCUACGGGAGGCAGCAGUAGGGAAUCUUCCGCAAUGGGCGAAAGCCUGACGGAGCAACGCCGCGUGAGUGAUGAAGGUCUUCGGAUCGUAAAACCCUGUUAUUAGGGAAGAACAUAUGUGUAAGUAACUGUGCACAUCUUGACGGUACCUAAUCAGAAAGCCACGGCUAACUACGUG
rnacentral:rRNA from 1 species